AUCGGUUUGUAAUUAUUACUCGUGAUCGUAAAAUUGUGGUUUCGAUUCCUGGACCAGGCGACGCGCUAUGUUCUUAAGCAAUACACUUCAUUUUCACAAUGCUGCAGUUUACUCAAAUGGCAAAAAUGAGUAAUCUGGCAAUGGAUCAGCGUCCUGUCCAGGUGGGGAAAUUUUAUAAGGGCCAUGGAAACCAGCCCUUAUGAGCCUGGCAUAGCUCGUGAAGGAACCAUUUUACCUAGAGAUCCCUCGGAAGAAAUUCAUUAAUCAGUUGCACAAUUGGUGUGUCAGUUGAGAAUAUGCAUUGGAGUGCACAUAUGCACACACACACACGAUGGUAAUAAGUUCUA